rnacentral:rRNA from 1 species
AGUGAACGCUGGCGGUAGGCCUAACACAUGCAAGUCGAACGGCAGCACAGUAAGAGCUUGCUCUUACGGGUGGCGAGUGGCGGACGGGUGAGGAAUACAUCGGAAUCUACUUUUUCGUGGGGGAUAACGUAGGGAAACUUACGCUAAUACCGCAUACGACCUACGGGUGAAAGCGGGGGAUCUUCGGACCUUGCGCGAUUGAAUGAGCCGAUGUCGGACUAGCUAGUUGGCGGGGUAAAGGCCCACCAAGGCGACGAUCCGUAGCUGGUCUGAGAGGAUGAUCAGCCACACUGGAACUGAGACACGGUCCAGACUCCUACGGGAGGCAGCAGUGGGGAAUAUUGGACAAUGGGCGCAAGCCUGAUCCAGCCAUACCGCGUGGGUGAAGAAGGCCUUCGGGUUGUAAAGCCCUUUUGUUGGGAAAGAAAAGCAGCAGGUUAAUACCCCGCUGUUCUGACGGUACCCAAAGAAUAAGCACCGGCUAACUUCGUG